GCCCAGAUGGCGGAAUUGGUAUACGCUACAGACUUAAAAUCUGUCGCCCGCAAGGGAUUGAGGGUUCGACUCCCUCUCUGGGCACAA
rnacentral:tRNA from 1 species